GUAGCAAAAUCAUUUGUUUUUUAAUUGGAAACUGGAAUGAAAGGUUGAACAAAUACAUAGUUUUAUUUUUUAAACAAUUAAAAUUUUUAAUUUAUGUAAAAAUGCGUAAAUAACUUAAAGGGACGAUAAGACCCUAAAAGCUUUAUUAUUAAAAUUUUUAUUAUUGUUAAAAUUUAAUUAUUAUAAGAUAUUUUAACUGGGGCGGUUGUUUUUAUAACAAAAAUUUUUUUUUACAACUAGGAUUUGAGGUCCUUAAAAUUAGGAUAAGUUGUUAAAGUUACUUUAGGGAUAACAGCGUAAUAAUAAUGAGGAGGCCUUAUUUAUAUUAUUGAUUGCGACCUCGAUGUUGAAUUAAAUUUUCUAUAUAAAGCAGAAAUUAUAUGUGAAAGUUUGUUCAACUUUUUAAAAUUU
rnacentral:rRNA from 1 species